UGGUAAUGUAGGUCAACCAGCAAUCUUGGACCUCACCCAAUAGGGUAUAACUCUGUUUUUAGAAUACAGUUCUGGAAAGUUUUUUUCUCUGAGGAGAUCUAUGCUCAAAGUCUCUGCUCUAAGGAUCAGGAACGUGUGGGAAGGCACCCUUUUCACGUGGCAUACGUGUUCUAGCUUUCCACCAAAAACUGUAGGUGGUCCAUAA
rnacentral:lncRNA from 11 species